GGGCAGAAAUUUGACAGAGGAGAUUUCCUUCCAUAUGAUUUUGGCUUUGCUGCAAUGGAACAGAAUAUGCUCAACUUCUUUAUCCGUAUAGCACCCUAAGCUACAAGCCUUCUCUCCCGCACAACCUCUCUCUGAAAGCAGUACAUUGUGGGCAGAAUCUGAAGCCCACACUUCCAAAAGAAGGUUUUAAGUUUAGGUGGUAGGUCA
rnacentral:lncRNA from 1 species